CCUCUUAGGCACGAUGCGCCACUAUAGUGGCUUUCGCGAAUGUCACCUUUCUGAACGACGCGUCAUUAUAGUGGCUCACUCGCUCACCGUUUGAAUUAAGUGAUCGUUUUCAUAUGUUUUGUUUCACACUCUUUUUGCCUUCACAACGUUUUAUAACAGUGUUAACAAUAUACAGACAGAAUAUACAGUCAUCAAAAAACUUCGUUUCAAUGUUUACGCGUAAUUCGCAUUGAACUCCGUCGUACAGAGGUUAAGAGAUCUCAGCGUUGUUCCACCGUUCCUUCAUAAGCGGUGCAGUCCCACGGAAUGUGAUCGAUGGUAGCGUUCACUGUAUCCACAAAUGCAUGCGGAGCUGGUAAUAAUGUGUCGCCUUGCAAGAGAGGAUGCAACGUAAUGUUGAACAUUCACCGCUGGAGCAAUGUAAACAUUUUAUCGUAAGAUCAACAUAGGAAUUAAAUAAGAAUGUACUGUUCAUGGGUGAAGAAGAGGAUAUUACGAAACAGCACUCGGAUCAUUCAUUAACAAAUGUCUUCAGCGACAUCUAUUGAAGAAUCAGGUAGAGCGAAGGAUUAACAUUGUUAUUUCUUAGUAUUAAACGAAUCUAAAAUUGAUUUUAGAAACAGCAUGUCGAAAUCCUUAAGGAACUACAAAACUGAGAGAAUUCGAUUUACAAUUGACAUUUAUUAAUCAGUAUCAGGAA